CCCUUAGAUGUUCUGGGCCGCACGCGCGCUACACUGAUGCAUUCAACGAGCCUAUCCUUGACCGACAGGUCCGGGUAAUCUUUGAAUCUGCAUCGUGACGGGGAUAGAUUAUUGCAAUUAUUAAUCUUCAACGAGGAAUGCCUAGUAGGCGCAUGUCAUCAGCUUGCGUCGAUUACGUCCCUGCCCUUUGUACACACCGCCCGUCGCUCCUACCGAUUGGGUGUGCUGGUGAAAUGUUCGGAUCGGCCGUUUGUCGCGGUUUCCGCGUCAUGUGGCUGAGAAGUUCAUUAAACCCUCCCACCUAGAGGAAGGAGAAGUCGUAACA
rnacentral:rRNA from 1 species